AGAGUUCAACCAGAAAGAGAAAGGCUUCAAGUGCUACCACCCAGGUUACUAAGCGAACCAGAGUGACUAAUGUCAUAGAUAGGGUUGCUUUUAAGGAAGGCAAACCUAGUGACCGUGAACUAGAUGAGCUGGCAGCGAAGAUUGGUCAAAAGUGGGACAAGCUGGGAAUUUACCUGAACAUUUCUCAGGACGUGCUCGACGAAAUAGCUGCUAACGCAAAAGAUAAACCAUAUCGGAUGUUACUUCGCUGGAGAGAUGAAUCAAAUUCGACUACACUUUAUGAAGACCUCUACUCCGCUCUCUGUCAUCACAGAGUUGGCCUAAAUAACGUGGCAAAGCUUUUUUGUUGUAAGGAAACUACAUAACGCAUUUUCUUACCGUGCGGCUACUUGAAGUCCAGCAACUGAUGCCAACCUAUAGACGACUUCAGUACAGAGUCAUCUACUUUCUUUUUUUUUUGGCGUGAAUCGGAAUAUUCUCUGCCUCGACCUAUAAGUUCGCGGUACUUUCCUUCUCUAUGGCGACUGUAAACAUAAAUUUUACAAUGGGCGAGCGAAGUCUAGCACGCUGAUUGGUUAACUUCCUGUUGAUAUUUGCUCCUUGUUUUGUAACAUAAUGCAUUCUCUUUGUAUGUAUAGCUUGGAUAUUUCUCGAUUGUUACGGGACGCUAGGCCUCGCUGGGUCUGUUGUUUCUUGCCGCGGAUCCACAAUUAAUUUCGCCAGAAACUUCUGUCUAUUUAACGUUGCUGGUACUAGUGACAUUUGCAUAAGCACAGCAGACAUCUCGUGGAGUAGGGAAGUUAGAAUUUCAAGAUAAUAAUAUUAUUAUUACCUUUGCUUCCACAAUGACGAAGAUUUCCUCUAGUCUUAGGAAGCCACCUCUUACGCACGUAACUAAUACUCAACUCGCAGACAGUUCAGGGCAAGUUGACAUGCCCACUUGAUCCACAAUGUUUUUUAACCUUGUAUACUGAUUGCCUGUCUUGGCCAGACAUUGACGGUGUUCACUAUAAGGUAUGGUAACACCAUUGGGAAUGAUAUCAUGUAUCUAUAUCAGGCAAAGUCUGAUAGACACACGCCUCACAUGUGGUAAUCUACAAAAUGUACGUAGAAUUUUUAUAUCAUCCCUUAUAUAUGACUUUUAACAUAACCUAUUUUUAGAUAUAUCUCUGAACUAAAAUAAGUGCUUGUUUUAUUUUUUGGUGUGUUUGCUGUAAACAGUGUAAAUUAAAGGGACAUUAUUGCGGCAGUCUGAUCAAACGAGUGCUUAAAAUAAUUAUAACUGAGUAACUUGCAUCAUACAUGAAAUGUUCCUAGAGCACCAAGAAGACGAUAUUAAAUGAAUCGUUAAAGGGAGAGCAAAUGAAACUUGUUUUUUAAUCGAGUUUUCCUGCAUCAUUACGAAAA